GAGUUUGAUCCUGGCUCAGGAUGAACGCUGGCGGCGUGCUUAACACAUGCAAGUCGAACGGAAAGGCCCCUGCUUGCAGGGGUACUCGAGUGGCGAACGGGUGAGUAACACGUGGGUGAUCUACCCCGCACUUCGGGAUAAGCCCGGGAAACUGGGUCUAAUACCGGAUAUUCACGCCCCUUUUGUGUGGGGUGUGGAAAGAUUUAUCGGUGUGGGAUGAGCUUGCGGCCUAUCAGCUUGUUGGUGGGGUAAUGGCCUACCAAGGCGUCGACGGGUAGCCGGCCUGAGAGGGUGUACGGCCACAUUGGGACUGAGAUACGGCCCAGACUCCUACGGGAGGCAGCAGUGGGGAAUAUUGCACAAUGGGCGCAAGCCUGAUGCAGCGACGCCGCGUGGGGGAUGACGGCCUUCGGGUUGUAAACUCCUUUCGCCCACGACGAAGCCCUUUUAGGGUGACGGUAGUGGGAUAAGAAGCACCGGCUAACUACGUGCCAGCAGCCGCGGUAAUACGUAGGGUGCGAGCGUUGUCCGGAAUUACUGGGCGUAAAGAGCUCGUAGGUGGUUUGUCGCGUCGUCUGUGAAAGUCCAGCGCUUAACGCUGGGAUUGCAGGCGAUACGGGCUUACUUGAGUGCUGUAGGGGAGACUGGAAUUCCUGGUGUAGCGGUGAAAUGCGCAGAUAUCAGGAGGAACACCAAUGGCGAAGGCAGGUCUCUGGGCAGUCACUGACACUGAGGAGCGAAAGCAUGGUAGCCAACAGGAUUAGAUACCCUGGUAGUCC
rnacentral:rRNA from 1 species